rnacentral:rRNA from 1 species
UUAAGCGACUAAGCGUACACGGUGGAUGCCCUGGCAGUCAGAGGCGAUGAAGGACGUGCUAAUCUGCGAUAAGCGUCGGUAAGGUGAUAUGAACCGUUAUAACCGGCGAUUUCCGAAUGGGGAAACCCAGUGUGUUUCGACACACUAUCAUUAACUGAAUCCAUAGGUUAAUGAGGCGAACCGGGGGAACUGAAACAUCUAAGUACCCCGAGGAAAAGAAAUCAACCGAGAUUCCCCCAGUAGCGGCGAGCGAACGGGGAGCAGCCCAGAGCCUGAAUCAGUGUGUGUGUUAGUGGAAGCGUCUGGAAAGGCGCGCGAUACAGGGUGACAGCCCCGUACACAAAAAUGCACAUACUGUGAGCUCGAUGAGUAGGGCGGGACACGUGGUAUCCUGUCUGAAUAUGGGGGGACCAUCCUCCAAGGCUAAAUACUCCUGACUGACCGAUAGUGAACCAGUACCGUGAGGGAAAGGCGAAAAGAACCCCGGCGAGGGGAGUGAAAAAGAACCUGAAACCGUGUACGUACAAGCAGUGGGAGCACGCUUAGGCGUGUGACUGCGUACCUUUUGUAUAAUGGGUCAGCGACUUAUAUUCUGUAGCAAGGUUAACCGAAUAGGGGAGCCGAAGGGAAACCGAGUCUUAACUGGGCGUUAAGUUGCAGGGUAUAGACCCGAAACCCGGUGAUCUAGCCAUGGGCAGGUUGAAGGUUGGGUAACACUAACUGGAGGACCGAACCGACUAAUGUUGAAAAAUUAGCGGAUGACUUGUGGCUGGGGGUGAAAGGCCAAUCAAACCGGGAGAUAGCUGGUUCUCCCCGAAAGCUAUUUAGGUAGCGCCUCGUGAAUUCAUCUCCGGGGGUAGAGCACUGUUUCGGCAAGGGGGUCAUCCCGACUUACCAACCCGAUGCAAACUGCGAAUACCGGAGAAUGUUAUCACGGGAGACACACGGCGGGUGCUAACGUCCGUCGUGAAGAGGGAAACAACCCAGACCGCCAGCUAAGGUCCCAAAGUCAUGGUUAAGUGGGAAACGAUGUGGGAAGGCCCAGACAGCCAGGAUGUUGGCUUAGAAGCAGCCAUCAUUUAAAGAAAGCGUAAUAGCUCACUGGUCGAGUCGGCCUGCGCGGAAGAUGUAACGGGGCUAAACCAUGCACCGAAGCUGCGGCAGCGACGCUUAUGCGUUGUUGGGUAGGGGAGCGUUCUGUAAGCCUGCGAAGGUGUGCUGUGAGGCAUGCUGGAGGUAUCAGAAGUGCGAAUGCUGACAUAAGUAACGAUAAAGCGGGUGAAAAGCCCGCUCGCCGGAAGACCAAGGGUUCCUGUCCAACGUUAAUCGGGGCAGGGUGAGUCGACCCCUAAGGCGAGGCCGAAAGGCGUAGUCGAUGGGAAACAGGUUAAUAUUCCUGUACUUGGUGUUACUGCGAAGGGGGGACGGAGAAGGCUAUGUUGGCCGGGCGACGGUUGUCCCGGUUUAAGCGUGUAGGCUGGUUUUCCAGGCAAAUCCGGAAAAUCAAGGCUGAGGCGUGAUGACGAGGCACUACGGUGCUGAAGCAACAAAUGCCCUGCUUCCAGGAAAAGCCUCUAAGCAUCAGGUAACAUCAAAUCGUACCCCAAACCGACACAGGUGGUCAGGUAGAGAAUACCAAGGCGCUUGAGAGAACUCGGGUGAAGGAACUAGGCAAAAUGGUGCCGUAACUUCGGGAGAAGGCACGCUGAUAUGUAGGUGAAGUCCCUCGCGGAUGGAGCUGAAAUCAGUCGAAGAUACCAGCUGGCUGCAACUGUUUAUUAAAAACACAGCACUGUGCAAACACGAAAGUGGACGUAUACGGUGUGACGCCUGCCCGGUGCCGGAAGGUUAAUUGAUGGGGUCAGCGCAAGCGAAGCUCUUGAUCGAAGCCCCGGUAAACGGCGGCCGUAACUAUAACGGUCCUAAGGUAGCGAAAUUCCUUGUCGGGUAAGUUCCGACCUGCACGAAUGGCGUAAUGAUGGCCAGGCUGUCUCCACCCGAGACUCAGUGAAAUUGAACUCGC